UACGGAGGGGGCGAGCGUUAUUCGGAAUUACUGGGCGUAAAGCGCGCGUAGGCGGAAUGAAUAGUCGGGGGUGAAAUCCCGGGGCUUAACCCCGGAACUGCCUUUGAAACUGUCAUUCUAGAAUCUGUCAGAGGGUGGUGGAAUUCCUAGUGUAGAGGUGAAAUUCGUAGAUAUUAGGAGGAACACCAGUGGCGAAGGCGACCACCUGGGGCAGUAUUGACGCUAAGGCGCGAAAGCGUGGGGAGCAAACGGG
rnacentral:rRNA from 1 species